UCUGUUUUCUUAAGUAAUAAAUCAUUUCCAAUUACAGGAGAGAGGCCUGUCAUACUGGAAAGACAUUGUCCAUUACUCUGGAAUCACCAGGAUACUACCUCAAAUUGAAAUUCAUAGUGUCAUUCACAGUUGCAUGUAUAUUUAUGUACUCUUGUGGUUGUGGUAUACAAAAAAAAGGUGUUUAACGUGUUGAGUAUAUGAGAGGCAGGUGGUAAAAUAUUGAAAUCUCUUGGACUAUAUCCAAAUACAUUGCUGGACAACUGGCCUAGCCGUUCACCACCAUACCAGUCGAGAACAUUCAAAACACUAAACUACUUUCUCCCACCUGCACUUGUUUGCCAAAGAAGCUCACUUUUCCAGGAUUAUCUUAAUUGCAAAGACAAUUCAGCCCAUCGAGUCUGUGCCAGACAAAAACAAACAUCUAUUGGCCUAUUAUUCUUAACCUAUUUGCCUUGGUAUCAUAAGUGAGCAUCAAAAUGCUUCUUAAAUGUUGAGAGUUUCUACCUCUUCCACUGUUACAGCAGUGAGUUCCAGAUUCUCAUCAUCCUGUACCGCAUAAAGAGGCAGACCGAGAGCCCCCGGAAGACUUCGCUCGGAGGAGGAACACAAUGGACACUCCUAAAUGCCAGGAGAAGGGACAUUUACACAUAGUCACGUGGACGAGAAAUGAAAUGAAGAAUCCUUUAGAAGACAUUCUCACCUACUUUAAGAGAUGGCUGGAAUUUCCUGUGUCAAUUACAAGUGAAUUGCUGCUGCCAGACGCUUGAUUAAUUUCCAUUCGAUUUAUCCUUGUUUUAAUCGCUUUACAAUUUUCACUAUUGUACUGUAACUGCUUUACAAUUAUCACCUUUGUGUUGUACCCCUAUAAAGCCUGCCUGCACCUUCCGAUUGGUGAAGAGCAUUCUGGCCAUCUGUGCAAAGAAUCAGUUCUGUGUCAGCCUGGUCAAUUUCUCUUCCGCGAUACCACUUUGUUUAAUAAUCCGCUUGUCAAUUUCACUGCGAUCCUCAUUUCUGGCCUCUGAUUCAUUGGGCUGAAUUUCUCCGACAGGGUUCUAGCUGUUCUCUUCUAUAGUUGUACAUCAGUUCCUUGCAUUUUGGUCCAACUUAUUGAUCACUUGCGAUCUUUGAGAAGAUUUGUAGCUCAGGUUGAGGUUCAGGUUGUAAGUUUGCUUGCUGAGCUGAAAGGUUGGUUUUCAUGAAAGCCAACGUUCCAGCACAGCAAGCAAACUUAAAAUCUGGUGAACUACUUCUUAAGUAUAACUGCCACCCAUCACAUACUGUUGCUGUUGCAAAUUCCUCAUCGCUUCUAUUUGUCUCUCCAACCGAGCCACUCGAUCUGAUAAGAUUCGCAUCCAACAUCAUUAAUGGCAGAUAUAGUCCGCAGUAACCCUUAAACUCUCUUUAAACUCCCACAUCUUACAAGAAGUACAUAUCCUGUCCCUCAGG